GGUUGCGAUCAUACCAGCAUUAAUGCACCGGAUCCCAUCAGAACUCCGCAGUUAAGCGUGUUUGGGCGAGAGUAGUACUAGGAUGGGUGACACCCUGGGAAGUCCUCGUGUUGCAACCC
rnacentral:rRNA from 1 species